UUUGGACCAAAACAGCAUUGUACCGGUGGCUGCUGUAUCAUGAGUGCAUCAGUAGGUAGCAGAGAGGAGAGAGGCCAUGUCUACGCUCGGUGUUCUGACCUGUGAACAGCUGAAUGAUGGGUAGCCUAACACU
ensembl:snoRNA